rnacentral:sRNA from 2 species
CCCGUGUGUUGCGUCUACGGCGCUACGCUACGCUACACAGGAGGUUCACGGGCACGUCGGUUAUACCUUAGUAUUCUUGAUAAGAAACAUUACCCCGGACUCGACUUGUCACGAGUUUGAGAGAUUGACGGACCCUAGAUAAAUUGGCAUGGAGAACGAAAGAGUGCUAAACACAAUGGCGUCCCAACAAGCACAAACUCCGAGCGAGACGACAUUAAGAAGCGGAUUUCCCCAGAUCUCCCUCCCCACGCGCUAAACCCUGUAUGUUUGAUGUUAUUGGCAACCAAACAGACACUCCAAAUACACUACUUUCCCGGCCGCCCUUAUUGAACACCUAUGAUUAGCAAGGUUUUUCUUGGCCCAUAACAUGCGCGGCCUCUAUUACUUGGACUUUUUCUUCUCUUUCGUUCUUUUCGAUAUCAUCACUUUUAAUGCGAACGCGCGGUUCCUGUUCUGCCUUGCGAUAAGCGUCUGCAUGUACGUUUCUGGCCCACUCGGUUCGAACCCAACUGCACGCCAUCUAGCGCAACAAUACCUCUCGCAACUUUCGUUUUGUUCGGACCUUUUGAUACUGAUUCGGGUUGGAAGCAUUGGGUUACUUGGAGAAAUGACGAAAUGGACGAAUAGGACAACGGUUAAUGAGGGGAUGAGGGGAAGGAAAGGGGAAACUUUGGGUUCUGGAGCGUAGAGGUUGGGACCCUACAUGGAGUUGCUUGGUGUAUGUAACCACCCACUCUGUUUGGCUGCAGACAACCCGACCCGCCUCGUCCUCAUGUGCACUCCUCCACAGUUUUGCGUUGUGUAGCAGCCAGCCAGCAAGCAGCCGGCCAUCUUUGUUGUGACGAACGGGAAAGGCAGAUUCACUGUUUCCUUCCCGUUGUCCCCUUUUUGGGUUCGUUGGAUGCUUGUUGCGUGCGGAACGGAGCCCUUAUCGCCUUUUCCAAUUACCUUUCUUCAACCACACGAGUUCAUUAAUCUUAGUCGUUUCUACUCUCUUUGUACGGUAGAUGGCCAAUGUCAGUUCAAACAUAAAAACCCCCGGAAUCUCGCAACAACAGCCCGAUUCGUGAACCCUGAAAUUGGCUGUCCCACGAGAAUUUGUGCUCCAAGACACCCUUAGACUUGUUACGGCACCGACCAUGCCCCGGGCCCAUGACUCUUCUCGGAUGCGGAUGGGAGUUCUAGAAAAGCCGCUACCCGCGACGCCGCCGGCCGCCCACCCACCCACCCUUCAUUCAGCCCAGCCACUUUUACCACUCACUGGAAAGUUAGAAAGCGGUGAGGGAACUCUACAACCACACGUCAAACGGCCGUGUGGGACGGGAAGCAAGGUGAGAGAUCCCAACUUCAAGGCGUGUGGUGAGGUGAGUGAGUGGGUGCCGAACAGGUUCACUUGUACUGUCAUGCAUCGUCGGGCACCUCUGUAGGUACAUAUGGUGGUGCAUGAUGUUACUGUACGAUUUAUGCUUAUCGGGUGAUGUACAUACAAUCCAGUACUGGUUUGUUUGUUCCUUAGUUCAGUUCUUCGGUUUAACAGGGGAGAUCUAGAGCUCUUACUAUUGGCCUGCAAAGAGAGAAACUGGCCGUUGUUUGAAGCGUCAUGGAUAAUACAUAGAUAACCAGGGUGGAAAACGCGCCAGAAGCCUUCUUAUCCUGCUCUCCGUCUUCACCCAUAGGUACCUAGCCUUCAAAGUCUGAAAACG